rnacentral:sRNA from 1 species
GCCAGGCACGGUGGUGCACACCUGUAAUCCUAGAGGCUCGGGAGGCUGAGGCAGGAGGAUUGUGAGGUGCUAAGCAACUCAGUGAGACCCUGUCUCUA